rnacentral:rRNA from 1 species
GACGGAGGGUGCGAGCGUUAUUCGGAUUUAUUGGGCGUAAAGGGCGUGCAGGCGGUCGGCCAAGUCUGAUGUGAGAGCCCGGGGCUUAACCUCGGAAGGGCGUUGGAAACUGGUUGACUUGAGUUCGGGAGAGGAAAGCGGAAUUCCGGGUGUAGAGGUGAAAUUCGUAGAUAUCCGGAGGAACACCGGUGGCGAAGGCGGCUUUCUGGACCGAAACUGACGCUGAGACGCGAAAGCGUGGGGAGCAAACAGG